GGCUUCGGCCCCGGGGACAGCGGCGAACGGGUGAGUAACACGUGGAUAACCAGCCCUCGGCACCGGGAUAGCCCGGGGAAACCCGGAUUAAUACCGGAUGGCCCUUCCGACUUUCGAGUCGGUCGGCAAAGGUAGCUUCGGCCUCCGGCCGAGGAUGGGUCCGCGGCGGAUUAGCUUGUUGGUGGGGUAAUGGCCUACCAAGGCUCCGAUCCGUAGCUGGUCUGAGAGGACGAUCAGCCACACUGGGACUGAGACACGGCCCAGACUCCUACGGGAGGCAGCAGUGGGGAAUCUUGCGCAAUGGGCGAAAGCCUGACGCAGCGACGCCGCGUGAGGGACGACGGCCUUCGGGUUGUAAACCUCUUUCAGGAGGGACGAAGCUACUCGGGUUAAUAGCCCAGAGGGUGACGGUACCUCCAGAAGAAGCCCCGGCUAACUACGUGCCAGCAGCCGCGGUAAUACGUAGGGGGCAAGCGUUGUCCGGAUUUACUGGGCGUAAAGAGCGUGUAGGCGGCUAGACAGGUCUGUUGUGAAAACUGGAGGCUUAACCUCCAGACGUCGACAGAAACCGUCUGGCUAGAGUCCGGAAGAGGAGAGUGGAAUUCCUGGUGUAGCGGUGAAAUGCGCAGAUAUCAGGAAGAACACCAAUGGCGAAGGCAGCUCUCUGGGACGGUACUGACGCUGAGACGCGAAAGCGUGAGGAGCGAACAGGAUUAGAUACCCUGGUAGUCCACGCCGUAAACGAUGGGU
rnacentral:rRNA from 1 species